rnacentral:rRNA from 1 species
CCCUUGACAUGUCUGGAAUCCUGAAGAGAUUUGGGAGUGCUCGAAAGAGAGCCAGAACACAGGUGCUGCAUGGCCGUCGUCAGCUCGUGUCGUGAGAUGUUGGGUUAAGUCCCGCAACGAGCGCAACCCUUGUCAUUAGUUGCUACGAAAGGGCACUCUAAUGAGACUGCCGGUGACAAACCGGAGGAAGGUGGGGAUGACGUCAGGUCAUCAUGGCCCUUAUGGGUAGGGCUACACACGUCAUACAAUGGCCGGGACAGAGGGCUGCCAACCCGCGAGGGGGAGCUAAUCCCAGAAACCCGGUCGUAGUCCGGAUCGUAGUCUGCAACUCGACUGCGUGAAGUCGGAAUCGCUAGUAAUCGCGGAUCAGCUUGCCGCGGUGAAUACGUUCCCGGGUCUUGUACACACCGCCCGUCACACCAUGGGAGCGGGUUCUGCCAGAAGUAGUUAGCCUAACCGCAAGGGGGGCGA